UCAUUUUUUAAUUUCAUUAUUUUUAUGUGUUUUAAGUGUUUAUUCAUGUUCACCUGAUAGCAGAGAUUACUGCACAUGUAGACAGGCACUUAAAAGGCACCUUUUGGGGUCUUUAUGGAUAAUUGGGCACCUGAUGUCAGUGACGUAAUGAUGUAGCGUCUGCGUGAUUUCAGAUUAGCGACUGGGACGAAAAACUAUAUAAAAGUUGAUUAUACAUACUGUGCGUGUAGUUUGAGACACUUAUUUACCGAACUAACAAGGCUUAUGUCGCUUAAUUACCUUACGCAACUCUGUGCACGUAUGUACGUCAUGUCAGCGUAAAAGUGGCGUUAAUAUAUAUUUUUUUAUUCCCCCCCAACUGUAUGUACAACAUACAUGAUUUGACACACCGUUACCGUGAGUGCGUUUGCCUGCAGCCCCCGGGUCAACAGAUCCUGAUCCGUGUGCUGGUGCAGGGGAUACGCGUGGUGGCUUAAUCUGCAUCCUAAAGCAAAAAGCCAUGUGUCAUAGUGGAAAAGUGGCCAGGACUUUUGCCUUACACCGGGAUUGUCACCGGUUUGAUGCCCAGCAGUAACAGAUGAUCGUUCCUUGUGGGGGCACUGCAUCGGCACAGAGAGCUGAGGGGGAAUGAAAACACCAAAGUACAGAGGACAAAUCAAGACAAAAGUGUUAAAGGCUGUGGAAGAAAAGAGGGCUUGAACCUGUGACCUUCCUGCUGUAAGGCAAGAGUGCUAACCACUUAGCUACUACGUGUUCUAGUAGGUAAGUAUGUUCUUUCUUGUUUUCCUUGUUGCCUAUGGGUUACAGUGAACACCACGCUACACAUCCUAGUCCCCCUGUAUUUCAAAAAUAUUUUUUUAAAUUAAAUUUCUUCACACUAUUCCAUGUUAUGCAAAAUUUUGACAUCUUGACUUGGGUGAUGGAGGUUGAUUUGUUCAAGGUGUCAAUUAUAUUGUCAGAUGAAAAAAAAAAGGCAAUUUGCUCAAUGAAUAGAGAAAAGCAGGACACCUCCCUGUGAAGACAGUCAUAGUUUAUGACUGGAGGCCAUGAAUCAAAGUCAGAAUCUAAACUGCUCAUUUAGACCUCGCGUCUCCUGCCAACUUGUUACGCUCCGUCCCACUCGCACUGGCCACCGCUGAAAGCAACAAUGGGAGGAGUGGAAACGUCCUGCACUUCUUCCCUGGCGUUCAGCUGAAAGCAUGACAGAUAUGUCGAGUGUGUGCUCUGGAAAACCUCAGCUGCCGGGAUAAUGUACGACUGCAACCAAUCCGGUGUUAGCCCUCAAGAGCCUGAGCACGUCCCGAGUUUGUGCCAAGAAUUGAUUAAAAACAGUCUCUCUACAUGUUUGCAUCGGUUCUUUCCUCAUUUUUUUCCUCCUCUUUUUUCCCCCGCAACCCUUUUGUCCAUCUAAGGCCCCCCCCCCUCAGAAAAGAAA